CCUACGGGAGGCAGCAGUGGGGAAUAAUGGGCAAUGGGCGAAAGCCUGACCCAGCAACGCCGCGUGAAGGAAGAAGGCUUUCGGGUUGUAAACUUCUUUUGACAGGGAAGCGCAGAAGACGGUACCUGUCGAAUAAGCCACGGCUAACUACGUGCCAGCAGCCGCGGUAAUACGUAGGUGGCACGCGUUGUCCGGAUUUACUGGGUGAAAGGGGCGUGUAGCCGGGCUGACAAGUCAGCGGUAAAAUCGCGGGGCUCAACCUCGCUCCGCCGUUGAACCUGGCGUUCUUGAGUGGGCGAGAAGUAUGCGGAAUGCGUGGUGUAGCGGUGAAAUGCAUAGAUAUCACGCAGAACUCCGAGUGCGAAGGCAGCAUACCGGCGCCCAACUGACGCUGAAGCACGAAAGCGUGGGUAUCGAACAGGAUUAGAUACCCGGGUAGUC
rnacentral:rRNA from 1 species